rnacentral:lncRNA from 1 species
CUAAAUAUAAACAAAUCGAACUGAAAUAAUUCAGUUAGAUUAGAAAGGUUUAUUUGGUUUCAAUAAAAAAAUAUAUAUAUUUGGAUAUGUUGGUUUUUUAAUCGGGUUUCGGGUCGCCCAUGAUGGACAAAUCCGACCCGACCCAUUAAGAGGUGGUUUUCUUAGUUGGUUGGGAAACCACCCAGUACGUACAGUUACAAAUAUGCAGAGAAAAAAAGGGAGGGAAGAAGUGUGAAAGAAGUUUCUCAUUUUUCUGAUUCUUCUUCUUCUAAUGACAUUACUCUUAUGAUUCUUCUUCUUCUUCUAAUGACAUUACUCUCCCCAUUACUGAGAUUCCUAAAAAGUUUAUUCUCUACUUGGAGGAUUUGACAUUUGGGUUGUGGAAACUAGUACAAUUUUCAUCUUGUGAUCUUGCAUUUGAUCCGUUGGAGCGAGUGGUUUGGUUUGAUCCCGUCUUCACGAUCUUCGAAUCGGAAUUGAGGUAUUUCAUAGAAUAAAUUUUUUUUUUUUGAGAGAUAAGUAGCACGCUACCUGCUUCGUUUAUUUCAUUUAGAAAUAAACUUAGCUAGAAAUGUGAAUCUACUAGGAUUCGAACUUGGGUCUCGGGUAACAACCAUCAAGCCCUUUGCCACUUGCUCUAAGGACGGUCGGUUCAUAGAAUAAAUUUUACUUUCAGGAUGAAAGCAUAUAAACAAUAAAAAGCAAAAUAUAAGUAUGAAUUUUAAUCUUAAAAUUUUUUUUUUUGAGAGAUAGGUAGCACGCUACCCGCUUCGUUUAUUUCAUUUAGAAAUAAACUUAGCAAGAAAUGUGAAUCAACUAGGAUUCGAACUUGGGUCUCGGGUACCAACCACCAAGCCCUUUACCACUUGCUCUAGGGACGGUCGGUAACUUACUAAUUAUUUGAUCAUUAUUUAGGGCUACUAUUAUAUUUUUUGAAAAUGUUAAU